UUCCAUGGUGUAUCAUAUCCACCCUUCCCACAGCUGAGCUAGUAGGGCUGUGCUUUCUGAGAGGAAUUCAACAGAAAAACGUUCCAUCUUUUGUCCCCUGGAAGAAGCACCAGUUUUUGGAGCAAUCUGUCUUCAAAUGUUUCUGUGAAAUUUUCCUUUUAGUUCUUGAUCCUGCUCAGACACAUCAGACCGAUACAAAACCCCCUGAGUAACGUCACCAGCCUCAGCAGAAUGUCUAAACUCUCUAAACUCCAACUUUGCGUUAUCACACCAUAACUACAUUAAAAUUAUGAACAUGAUGAUGGCAGGUUCUAGGUCACUGGCUUUCAAUCUUCCUGCUUAGGGCUGACCAUAGCAUUUGUCUGUAUUUUCUUGUCUCAGGGACUCCGUGUUUCCUUAAGGGACCAAGCUCUUGCUCUCCACAGCUCCUUGGAGCUGAAGGUGCUCGCCCACACUGAGUGAGACACUGUUACGUUUCUAUUUGCAGAUAUGCUGCUGUGAUGGAAAUUUCUGUUCCAACACACUUCCACACCGAGAGAAAUAGAGGAAAAAGAAAAGAAAAAGGAGUCAAAAGCCAGAAGGCCUCAUUUAAAUGCCAGUGUGGCAACCAAAGAGUGCAAGCAUGGAAAUGUCUGAGAUAGACAAUGGAAAGCAAUACAUAAAAUCCAAGACAAGCGAUCAUAGAUGGCCCUGCUGGGAAAGCAGAUCCAGGGAAUUGGAUGGAGGUGGAAGGUCACUCCUAACACAUUAAAUACAACAGCCAAAGCAGAUCCUGAUGUCACCCUGAUACUGAGAUGGAAAAGUCACCUGCUUAAAAUCAUUGAAAAGGAAAAGAAGGAGCAGGAGGACAGGUGGGUAGGUGUGUUGGUAACUCUGUUAAACACAGUUUAAAAAACCCCAAAACGCAGUAGUUAUUAACCAGAUAUUUGAGGAGGCACAGCCACAGCUCUCUGCAGAACAUUUACAAAGUGCUUGACAAAUGGAAAGCUGGAUCUUUUUCAGCAAGUGCCGUGGGUGCUGUGCAGCCAGACCUGGAGCACCAGGGCCAUCCAUCUGCCUCAGGAGUCCUGCUUCCAUCCUUGGAGUGUGCAUCCUUCCAUCCUCCAGUGUGCACCGGCACUUCAGAUUGAGGUGCAGACCGGCUCCAGACGCUGCACAUGGAAGGCAAGGAGAGCUGGGAGCCGAGAGAGGAGCGGUUUCUCCUGGAACACCGGGAGCCCUUCCAUGGCAGCAGCUCAUUCCCAGCCCCUGCCCCACUCUCUGCUCCCAAAGGUCACCGGGAACUCGCCCAAGGCCCGGGGGGCUCGGCAGGGCUUUCCCACCUGGGCCGAGUGCCACAGGAGGGGCCCCUGCAGGAUUUCUGUCUCGGUCGGGUUCCAGCAGCUCAGACUGGCUCCUGCAUCCAGCAGGGAUUGGGUGGGGAUUUGGUUGGGGCUUUUUGUUUGCUGGUUUGGCUUUUAGUUAUUUAGAGAGUGCUUUGAGGGUCAGUUUUGCUGCUUCAUCAGCUUCACCCCCUGCCCAGCUGCCUGUUGUGUGCAUGGAAGGGUUCAGUCUGCAUUUCCCUUCUUCUGCACCCCUACUUUAUUAUUUUAGGCUCUUUAUUUUCAUUUUUCUCUUUUCCUUUUGACUGUUUUUUCCCCCUUUCAUUCCCCCUUUUUUAAUAUUUAUUUUCUGCUGUGGGUUUUUUUCCCCCCCCCCCUCUUCUCUCACGUGACCUCGGUGCUUUCCUGUCUUUUUGUAAAUUUUUCUUUUUUCUUUUUUUUUAAUUUCUUUUUUCUUCUCCUGCUCAGAAGCCCCUGGGGCAGCUGCACAGCCGGGGCCACUCCUGGCUGUCAGAGAAGCCGGGAGCUGACUGCUCUACGGGAUUUGUUUGCUCCCAGGUCUGCGGCUCGGGGCUCUCUCUCAUCGUGUUUUAUCAAAUAAAGUUCGUGUGGCAUUC